AUGUCUUUUUGAUUUUGAUUUAAGGUUUAAUCUGCUCAAUGAUUAAUUAAAUUGCCGCAGUAUUUUAACUGUGCUAAGGUAGCAUAAUCAUUAGUUUCUUUAUUGGGAACUGGAAUGAACGAUUGGACGAGAUAAUUUCUGUCUCUUUUUGAAUUGAUUUUUAAUUUUAUUUUUAAGUUAAAAAGCUUAAAUGAUUUUAAAAGACGAGAAGACCCUAUAGAAUUUUACAUUAUAUUGUUUUUAGUAAUUUAUGAGAAUGUUUAUUUGGGGUGACUUGAAGAUUUAAUUAAUUCUUUAAAUUUUUUUUAUUGAUGAUUAUUAAUUUCAAAUUUUAAUGAUUUUAAGAAUAAAAUAAAUUACCUUAGGGAUAACAGCGUAAUUUUCCUUUUAAGUUCUUAUUUUAAGGGAGGUUUGCGACCUCGAUGUUGGAUUAAAGUUAAUUUUUGGCGCAGUAGCUUAAGAAUUGGGUCUGUUCGACCUUUGAAACU
rnacentral:rRNA from 1 species